CCCCUAGUAACGGCGAGUGAAGCGGGAACAGCUCAAAUUUGAAAUCUGGCCCUCGGGUCCGAGUUGUAAUUUGCAGAGGAUGCUUUUGGCGCGGUGCCUUCCGAGUUCCCUGGAACGGGACGCCUUAGAGGGUGAGAGCCCCGUACGGUUGGCCACCAAGCCUGUGUAAAGCUCCUUCGACGAGUCGAGUAGUUUGGGAAUGCUGCUCAAAACGGGAGGUAUAUUUCUUCUAAAGCUAAAUACUGGCCAGAGACCGAUAGCGCACAAGUAGAGUGAUCGAAAGAUGAAAAGCACUUUGAAAAGAGGGUUAAAUAGCACGUGAAAUUGUUGAAAGGGAAGGGUUUAUGACCAGACUUUUUCUAGGGGGAUCAUCCGGUGUUCUCACCGGUGCACUUCCCCUAGUUGAGGCCAGCAUCGGUUUCUGCCGGGGGAUAAAAGCUUCGGGAAUGUGGCUCCUUCGGGAGUGUUAUAGCCCGUUGUAUAAUACCCUGGCGGGGACCGAGGUUCGCGCAUUCGCAAGGAUGCUGGCGUAAUGGUUAUUAACCACCCGUCUUGAAACACGGACCAAGGAGUCGAACAUUUGUGCGAGUGUUUGGGUGUUAAACCCUCACGCGUAAUGAAAGUGAACGGAGGUGAGAGCCUUUAGGGGUGCAUCAUCGACCGAUCCUGAUGUCUUCGGAUGGAUUUGAGUAGGAGCAUCACUGUUCGGACCCGAAAGAUGGUGAACUAUGCGUGGAUAGGGUGAAGCCAGAGGAAACUCUGGUGGAGGCUCGCAGCGGUUCUGACGUGCAAAUCGAUCGUCAAAUCUGCGCAUGGGGGCGAAAGACUAAUCGA
rnacentral:rRNA from 2 species